AUGCAGAGAACUUCCAGAGAUGGAUUGGUGCCUUCGGGAACGUCUGACACAGGUGCUGCAUGGCUGUCGUCAGCUCGUGUCGUGAAUGUUGGGUUAAGUCCGUAACGAGCGCAACCCUUGUCCUUAGUUACCAGCACGUUAUGUGGGCACUCUAAGGAGACUGCCGGUGGACAAACCGGAGGAAGGUGGGGAUGACGUCAAGUCAUCAUGGCCCUUACGGCCUGGGCUACACACGUGCUACAAUGGUCGGUACAAAGGGUUGCCAAGCCGCGAGGUGGAGCUAAUCCCAUAAAACCGAUCGUAGUCCGGAUCGCAGUCUGCAACUCGACUGCGUGAAGUCGGAAUCGCUAGUAAUCGUGAAUCAGAAUGUCACGGUGAAUACGUUCCCGGGCCUU
rnacentral:rRNA from 1 species